UGUAUAAAUAUUUAACGGGCAUAAAAUGAAUGAGAGCUUGUCUUUAAGAGUUUUUAUUGAAUGAAAUGAGAAACUGUUUUGAAUUACAUUUUGAAUUACAUUACAUUUAAAAAAUAAUGUUUAUUUUAUUUUUAAAUAUAAUAUAAGAUAAAGGCAGUCAAUUUUUUACUUGAUGUAUUGAACAUGUAAUGGCAAAAAUCUAUAACAUUGUUUAUAAAUAUGAUUACAUUUGGGAACCUCCUGCAGUCACAAUCUGCUUAGAUUUUUUUCCUUUAAGCUUGAAUGCAUUCUGCGGAAAUGGAGAGGUGGCACUACUUGUAUGGAUAAUUGCUUUGUUUUUCUAAAAUAAGAAAAUAAUGCAAGCAUUUGGGUAGGUUAUCAGGACGAGGAAGGAAGGAGUUAGCGUGAAUCUUGGAUUCAUGUUGCUAGCUGAUCCUCUCCUCUUUCCUUCCUUCUCUCCUUCCCUCUCUCGCAAUCCAUUUGACAUAUAUAUAUCAUUUGUUCUGCCUCAGAGUCAAACCUCAAGCUUAAACGAGCGCAAACUCAAUCACAGCAAACCAAUAUGUUUGCCCCUUUUCUCAAGUGGAAGUGCAGACUAAGCAGCCCCUCCUCCCCCAACUGCUUUCACUUUUUUCCCCAAAAUGCCUUAUCGGUGCUGUGCAGCUGGCUGUUUACCUUAAGUUUAGUUUACUUUGAAAUAUUGGUUCAUUUGAAAGUGCAUGCAUGUCUGAAUGCGCUCAUUUGAAUAUGAGAAUACAUCAAGAUGUGUAUUUGCGAUGACCGACAGCAACAAGUGCAUUCGCCUCCUGCUGCUGUUUAACCGAAGAUGCUGACGAGGCCACUUUGACACCCACCUAUAGGUUGGACCUGAGAGACAUUUAAUUUGCCGGCAAUUUAAUAUUUCCUUCUUAUUUGCCGGCCCGUUCAUUCAAUAUUAAUGCCAGAGCCAUUUCCUCGAGGCAACAAUAGCUUCUUUAAAAAUGCAUGUUUGUAUAAAGCCCUUCUUACAGCAGUCAGUCAGCGGUCAGUCAGCCUUCCAACCAACACCACAAUUUCAAAACUGGAUGGAUGUCAACAUUAUUUUCCCCCAAAAGUGACUAUUUUACCACCUGAUCAUCUCGAUAACAGAAUAUGGCCAGAGACAGAUGCGAGCCGGCGACACUUCAGGGUUAUGCACAUGUUGACUUUGUAGGCGGUGCUGAGAUGCGCCAGCCGUCACAAGGUGAGCUGGAUUAGGAAAGAAUUAGGAAGGAGACCGUGAGUAAUACAAGCAGACGUGGGGGAGGUUGUGACAGUUCCAUGUCAGGACACUUGCCAGACUUAGCGCUCAUCUUUUCACCGUGCCUCAACAUGCCUGAGCCGCUGUCACAGAAAGGACCGAAUACAAAUCCUUUUGAGGAACUUACACAAACAUAAUUAUUUAUUUAGCUGGUUAAAACCCACAUAAUUCUCCUAUCAACCGUGGCAAGCUGCUUCGUCUUGUUCCCCAUACAUGGCUGGGAUUAGUAAAGCGGCGGAAUGGGGAAAUGUGAACGUGUGUUUCACUAUGAUUGUCUUUGCUUCUUAGUGUGUAGAACAGUUUCUGUCUUUUUCUGUUUGACGCACCUUGAUACCAUGAAUAGUUUCCAAUGAAUUCUCUUCCAUGAUUCCAGUUAAUAAAUGAAAAGUGUUGUAAUUUACGCAUUUAGCAAAACAUGUAUUUGCUGAUUACAUUGUUUACAAAUUCACGCAUUUACAAUAGCUAUUAUUUUAACCACAAAAAAAUGAUUGUUUACCACCAGCAGUUCUUAAUGUGAGUUAGCAAUUGUUAAAUGGUGUUGGUGUUUGAUGCUCUUCCAAUGGCAAAAAGCAUGAAGUGCAAGAAAUAACAAAAAUGUAUACAUAUCUUUUUAGAAUUUAUAUUUUCUUUUUAGAAUUUGUAUUGAUUUAUUUUUCAUAUCUUCCAACUGACGUCAAAGACAAAGACCUCGAAACAAAUUAUGCAAAACGUUGUGCUUCAUCACUGUAGUUGAUGUGUUACUUGCGGUACGAUUUUGAAGUGAAAA